rnacentral:lncRNA from 1 species
CAAGAAUUCAGAUGAAGGACAGUUUACAAAGGACAAGAAUUGGAACAUGAACUUACUGGGAAUUCUUCUGACUUUCAUCCUCACCAUUCUAGCACUUGCCACCAUAGUAGCUCUACUCCUGAAAUAUAUACAACGCAAGAAAAACUUGUUUGGACCUUGCAAUGCAGAACAACAAGAAUGUCUUCUGCAUUGCCAGGAACAGAGAGCUCUAUGUGACAGUUCCAUCUGCCCGACAGAGACCAGUUUUCUCCAACAACUGGCAUCCUUACCACAAGCACAAUCUACGAAGUCCCUCUACCUUCCAAAUCUAUCACAGAAGACACAAAAAUGCAUAUGUAAGUUGUCUAUGUCUCAAUUUGAAUAUCUCUUGUUCCUUUGCAAUCUCAAGAAUAUUUCUCUAACUUUUAUUUAUCUUAACUUAUGCAAUGGCCUGAAAUCCAAAAAAAAAGAUUUGUAGGGUGAUUCUAUUGCCAACACCCCUAGCUUGGAGACCAAAAGGCCAAUUUUAAGGUGGUUACCUGUCCCUGACAUAUGUGAUCUUGUUGUGAGGACCAAAUGAGUUAACAUAAAUAAAGUGCUUUUCAACCCUUAAACUGAUAUUUAA